UCCAAGCAGAGAGGACAAGGAGACCAAAAGCUCUUACUUGGUUCCAAUUUGGUGCAUUUGAGAAACGACUUGAAACAAGUCAGGAAAAAAAUAAUAGAAGAUGAGGUCAAACAGAAAAUCAGAAACUUAAACGUGUUGGGCCUUGGAGACCAUGAUUUCUCAGAAAAUUCAUCAGAGGAACUUAAAAUUUCAAUCACUGUUAUUCUUUGGUAUGGAGAAAAAAAUCUUACAUGAUGAGACUGGAACACGGAUAACAAAUACCUGCUGGGUUUGCUGCCACUACUACUUAAUCCUUCCUCUAUAGCUGGCAUUGCUAAUCACUCAUGACACUUUCCUGCUGAGCCCACAUGUAGACUCAGAUGGCUACAGGCAGUAACCACCAAUUGAUCAGAGCUGGCACACAAGAUGGAACCUAUUUGCAAUCCCUGGUCUAGAACAUUGUACCAUCUCUACUGAGCUGCUGCUUUGGGACUGACUUUACCAGGAGGCUCACCACAGGGGGUUGGAGUAGUCCUAGAAGGUGAAUAAAUGGCAGAGCCCACAUGGCAUACAAGAGGACAAGGUUUGUCACUCACAGGUUCUGGAAGGAAAGGUACAAGGAGCUGACAUGAACCUGAUUUUUAACCUGAAGCAGACAGAGUUGGGACCAGCUGGCCUGCAGUCCUAAGCCCAUGAUUAGACCCAACUGGAGGAAGUUUGGAGCUUCUCUCAGACAUGUAAGAAUUGUUCUGAAGAAUCUGCAUCUUGUUGGGUGAAGGACUUCAGAAUGUGCAAUAAAAAUGCAAUAGUCUUGGACCUAUGUAACUGGAAGGAACUGGUGGACAAGCUCUUACUGCUUCUCCAGGUUCUCACAAGAAAGCAGGCAUGGAUUCCUUUUGCACAGCUCCUCCAGGCUUUCUGGGCCCUGUCAUUCCUUCUUCUAUCUUCUGGGUUGAGCAACAUGCAAUCUCCCCUUGUGCAGAAGCCCAAAUAGCUACUGAAAAUGUGUCCUCUCUGACUUUCCCCAUUUCUUGAACUCUGAGAGACUUUUUCUAGUAUCAGUUCUGAGGAGCAUUGCUGUUUUCCUUCCUAUCAUCUGGAAGACCUAGACUUUAAAACUCAAAACCUGAGAAAAACUUCCUUUUUUUUCUCUCUUUUGUCUGGAUCAUCACUACCUUGAAAUACUAAAUUAGCAAAGUCCUAACUAGAAACUGAAUUGGCUAAAGAGUCAAGGAGCAACAGGUAAUUCCAAGAAAAACAACAGCAAACUUACAUCAGUUAACAUUUCAAAGCUAUUUUCCUUUGCAAUUUUGUGUAUCUGUUUUUAUGGAAUGCAAGAGAUAAUAGGCUAAAUGCUAUUUUGCAUAUGUGUUACAUUGGAUUUCUCACAUAUUCUACUACUUAACUCAAGAUGUUGAGUAAAUAAAUGAGUUAAUAAACUGGAAUUUCUAUAUCAGCUCUUGGUUCUAGUUAUGUUUCGUUUGUUUUGGAUUUUUUUUCUUUUUGAAUGCUUAUUCACUGGCCCAGCUGUAUUUAUGCCUAGAUUAACCAGAUACAUUGCCA
rnacentral:lncRNA from 10 species